rnacentral:rRNA from 1 species
GGUGAACGCUGGCGGCGUGCUUAAUACAUGCAAGUCGAGCGAGGACCACCUGGUGGCAACACCGGGUGACUCCUAGCGGCGAACGGGUGAGUAACACGUGGGCAACCUGCCCCCGACUCUGGGAUAAGCCCGGGAAACUGGGUCUAAUACCGGAUACGAACCUCCUCCGCAUGGUGGAGGUUGGAAAGGGUCUCCGGUCGGGGAUGGGCCCGCGGCCUAUCAGCUUGUUGGUGGGGUAACGGCCCACCAAGGCGACGACGGGUAGCCGGCCUGAGAGGGUGAACGGCCACACUGGGACUGAGACACGGCCCAGACUCCUACGGGAGGCAGCAGUAGGGAAUCUUGCGCAAUGGGCGAAAGCCUGACGCAGCGACGCCGCGUGC